GGGUUGUGAGGUUAAGCGACUAAGCGUACACGGUGGAUGCCCUGGCAGUCAGAGGCGAUGAAGGGCGUGCUAAUCUGCGAUAAGCGCCGGUAAGGUGAUAUGAACCGUUAUAACCGGCGAUACCCGAAUGGGGAAACCCAGUGUGACUCGUCACACUAUCAUUAACUGAAUCCAUAGGUUAAUGAGGCGAACCGGGGGAACUGAAACAUCUAAGUACCCCGAGGAAAAGAAAUCAACCGAGAUUCCCCCAGUAGCGGCGAGCGAACGGGGAGGAGCCCAGAGCCUGAAUCAGCAUGUGUGUUAGUGGAAGCGUCUGGAAAGGCGCGCGAUACAGGGUGACAGCCCCGUACACAAAAGCGCAUGUGCUGUGAGCUCGAUGAGUAGGGCGGGACACGUGGUAUCCUGUCUGAAUAUGGGGGGACCAUCCUCCAAGGCUAAAUACUCCUGACUGACCGAUAGUGAACCAGUACCGUGAGGGAAAGGCGAAAAGAACCCCGGCGAGGGGAGUGAAAAAGAACCUGAAACCGUGUACGUACAAGCAGUGGGAGCACAGGUUUACCUGUGUGACUGCGUACCUUUUGUAUAAUGGGUCAGCGACUUAUAUUCUGUAGCAAGGUUAACCGAAUAGGGGAGCCGGAGGGAAACCGAGUCUUAACCGGGCGUUAAGUUGCAGGGUAUAGACCCGAAACCCGGUGAUCUAGCCAUGGGCAGGUUGAAGGUUGGGUAACACUAACUGGAGGACCGAACCGACUAAUGUUGAAAAAUUAGCGGAUGACCUGUGGCUGGGGGUGAAAGGCCAAUCAAACCGGGAGAUAGCUGGUUCUCCCCGAAAGCUAUUUAGGUAGCGCCUCGUGAACUCAUCUCCGGGGGUAGAGCACUGUUUCGGCUAGGGGGCCAUCCCGGCUUACCAACCCGAUGCAAACUGCGAAUACCGGAGAAUGUUAUCACGGGAGACACACGGCGGGUGCUAACGUCCGUCGUGAAGAGGGAAACAACCCAGACCGCCAGCUAAGGUCCCAAAGUCAUGGUUAAGUGGGAAACGAUGUGGGAAGGCCCAGACAGCCAGGAUGUUGGCUUAGAAGCAGCCAUCAUUUAAAGAAAGCGUAAUAGCUCACUGGUCGAGUCGGCCUGCGCGGAAGAUGUAACGGGGCUAAACCAUGCACCGAAGCUGCGGCAGCGACACUGUGUGUUGUUGGGUAGGGGAGCGUUCUGUAAGCCUGUGAAGGUGUGUCGUGAGGC
rnacentral:rRNA from 1 species